AGCGAACGCUGGCGGCAGGCCUAACACAUGCAAGUCGAGCGGGCCUUUCGGGGUCAGCGGCGGACGGGUGAGUAACGCGUGGGAACGUGCCCUCUGGUUCGGAAUAACUCAGGGAAACUUGAGCUAAUACCGGAUACGCCCUUUUGGGGAAAGGCUUGCUGCCGGAGGAUCGGCCCGCGUCUGAUUAGCUAGUUGGUGAGGUAACGGCUCACCAAGGCGACGAUCAGUAGCUGGUCUGAGAGGAUGAUCAGCCACACUGGGACUGAGACACGGCCCAGACUCCUACGGGAGGCAGCAGUGGGGAAUAUUGGACAAUGGGCGCAAGCCUGAUCCAGCCAUGCCGCGUGAGUGAUGAAGGCCUUAGGGUUGUAAAGCUCUUUUAUCCGGGACGAUAAUGACGGUACCGGAGGAAUAAGCCCCGGCUAACUUCGUG
rnacentral:rRNA from 1 species